rnacentral:pre_miRNA from 1 species
UUGGUACUCCCUUCGUUCGGAGUUACUUGUCGCAGAAAUGGAUGUAUCUAGAUGUAUUUUAGUUCUAUAUUCAUUCAUUUUCGAGACAAGUAAUUCUGAACGGAGGGAGUAGUUG